CGGAACGAUGGGAGCUUGCUCCCAGGCGUCGAGCGGCGGACGGGUGAGUAACACUUAGGAAUCUACCUAGUAGUGGGGGAUAGCUCGGGGAAACUCGAAUUAAUACCGCAUACGUCCUACGGGAGAAAGGGGGCAACUUGUUGCUCUCGCUAUUAGAUGAGCCUAAGUCGGAUUAGCUAGUUGGUGGGGUAAAGGCCUACCAAGGCGACGAUCUGUAGCUGGUCUGAGAGGAUGAUCAGCCACACCGGGACUGAGACACGGCCCGGACUCCUACGGGAGGCAGCAGUGGGGAAUAUUGGACAAUGGGGGCAACCCUGAUCCAGCCAUGCCGCGUGUGUGAAGAAGGCCUUUUGGUUGUAAAGCACUUUAAGCAGUGAAGAAGACCUAACGGUUAAUACCCGUUAGCGAUGACAUUAGCUGCAGAAUAAGCACCGGCUAACUCUGUGCCAGCAGCCGCGGUAAUACAGAGGGUGCAAGCGUUAAUCGGAAUUACUGGGCGUAAAGCGAGCGUAGGUGGCUUGAUAAGUCAGAUGUGAAAUCCCCGGGCUUAACCUGGGAACUGCAUCUGAUACUGUCAGGCUAGAAUAGGUGAGAGGAAGGUAGAAUUCCAGGUGUAGCGGUGAAAUGCGUAGAGAUCUGGAGGAAUACCGAUGGCGAAGGCAGCCUUCUGGCAUCAUAUUGACACUGAGGUUCGAAAGCGUGGGUAGCAAACAGGAUUAGAUACCCUGGUAGUCCACGCCGUAAACGAUGUCUACUAGUCGUUGGGUCCCUUGAGGACUUAGUGACGCAGCUAACGCAAUAAGUAGACCGCCUGGGGGAGUACGGCCGCAAGGUUAAAACUCAAAUGAAUUGACGGGGGCCCGCACAAGCGGUGGAGCAUGUGGGUUUAAUUCGAUGCAACGCGAAGAACCUUACCUGGUCUUGACAUAUCUAGAAUCCUGCAGAGAAUGCGGGAGUGCCUUCGGGAAUUAGAAUACAGGUGCUGCAUGGCUGUCGUCAGCUCGUGUCGUGAGAAGUUUGGGGUUAAGUCCCGCAACGAGCGCAACCCUUGUCCUUAGUUACCAGCCGGGUUA
rnacentral:rRNA from 1 species